rnacentral:rRNA from 1 species
GUGUCAGCAGCCGCGGUAAUACGGAGGGUGCGAGCGUUGUCCGGAAUCACUGGGCGUAAAGGGCGCGUAGGCGGCGCAGCAAGUCAGCGGUGAAAGCCCGAGGCUCAACUUCGGGUCGGCCGAUGAUACUGCUGUGCUUGAGCACUGUAGAGGCAGGUGGAAUUCCGGGUGUAGCGGUGGAAUGCGUAGAGAUCCGGAAGAACACCGGUGGCGAAGGCGGCCUGCUGGGCAGUUGCUGACGCUGAUGCGCGACAGCGUGGGGAGCAAACAGGAUUAGAUACCCUGGUAGUCC